rnacentral:rRNA from 1 species
UACGGGGGGGGCAAGCGUUGUUCGGAAUUACUGGGCGUAAAGGGCUCGUAGGCGGCCAACUAAGUCAGACGUGAAAUCCCCAGGCUUAACCUGGGAACUGCGUCUGAUACUGGUUGGCUUGAAUCCGGGAGAGGGAUGUGGAAUUCCAGGUGUAGCGGUGAAAUGCGUAGAUAUCUGGAGGAACACCGGUGGCGAAGGCGGCAUCCUGGACCGGUAUUGACGCUGAGGAGCGAAAGCCAGGGGAGCAAACGGG